rnacentral:rRNA from 1 species
CAGUCGCCGCGGUAAUGCAGAAGAUGCAAGCGUUAUCCGGAAUGAUUGGGCGUAAAGCGUCUGUAGGUGGCUUUUCAAGUCCACCGUCAAAUCCCAGGGCUCAACCCUGGACAGGCGGUGGAAACUACCAAGCUAGAGUACAGUAGGGGCAGAGGGAAUUUCCGGUGGAGCAGUGAAAUGCGUUGAGAUUGGAAAGAACACCAACGGCGAAAGCACUCUGCUGGGCCGACACUGACACUGAGAGACGAAAGCUAGGGGAGCAAAUGGGAUUAGAUACCCCGUAGUCCCUGUCUCUUAUACA